AGAGUUUGAUCCUGGCUCAGGAUGAACGCUAGCGGCAGGCCUAACACAUGCAAGUCGAGGGAGAAGCUCUUUCGGGGGCAGAAACCGGCGCACGGGUGCGUAACGCGUAUGCAACCUACCUUUCACAGGGGGAUAGCCCGAAGAAAUUUGGAUUAAUACCCCAUAAUAUUAUUGGAUGGCAUCAUUUGAUAAUUAAAACUGCGGUGGUGAAAGAUGGGCAUGCGUCCUAUUAGCUAGUUGGAGUGGUAACGGCACCCCAAGGCUACGAUAGGUAGGGGUCCUGAGAGGGAGAUCCCCCACACUGGUACUGAGACAGGGACCAGACUCCUACGGGAGGCAGCAGUGAGGAAUAUUGGUCAAUGGUCGGAAGACUGAACCAGCCAUGCCGCGUGCAGGAAGAAUGCCUUAUGGGUUGUAAACUGCUUUUAUAUGGGAAGAAUAAGGCGUACGUGUACGUUGAUGACGGUACCAUAUGAAUAAGCAUCGGCUAACUCCGUGCCAGCAGCCGCGGUAAUACGGAGGAUGCGAGCGUUAUUCGGAAUCAUUGGGUUUAAAGGGUCUGUAGGCGGGCUAUUAAGUCAGGGGUGAAAGGUUUCAGCUUAACUGAGAAAUUGCCUUUGAUACUGGUAGUCUUGAAUAUCUGUGAAGUUCUUGGAAUGUGUAGUGUAGCGGUGAAAUGCUUAGAUAUUACACAGAACACCGAUUGCGAAGGCAGGGGACUAACAGACAAUUGACGCUGAGAGACGAAAGCGUGGGGAGCGAACAGGAUUAGAUACCCUGGUAGUCCACGCUGUAAACGAUGGAUACUAGCUGUUUGGCGCAAGCUGAGUGGCUAAGCGAAAGUGAUAAGUAUCCCACCUGGGGAGUACGCACGCAAGUGUGAAACUCAAAGGAAUUGACGGGGGCCCGCACAAGCGGUGGA
rnacentral:rRNA from 1 species